CGGGAGGGACGCCUAGGGUUUGUAUUGCGGCGGACGUACGGGCGGUGGCGGGUGCAUCAGUUUGAUUGCGAGUGGUGGGGCGGAGCGGAGCGGCCGGGAUCGGGGGAUCAGGGUCAGGGGAGGCAUGGCGGAGGCGUUCGACAUGUACCAUCGGUCUGAAAUCGGCAAGGCCCUGACGGAAACACUGACCAAGAUGGUGGGCAGAGGUGCGUUCAGUCCCGAGCCUACCAUCGCUGUCCUCCUGCAGUUCGACAAGGUUCCCUCCGCCGCCUCCCCCGCUCCUCCUCUUGCCUCCUCCCCACGCACAUGAUCACCGCCAACCCUCCAGAUCAGCCGGACGAGUAUGCGGCACUCAACCUGCCCUCCACGCUAAUUGUGCCCAGCUCCAACCCAAACGCACCCAUCCUCCUCUCGCCAUCAUCGCACGCCGGUUCAUCCUCGCCGUAACCGCCCGCAGCUGAACCGGCACGCAUAGAACCUAACGGAGCCACAGAGGCCGUUACACGAACAUGCGGGAUCUGCUUUCCCGAGACACCUUCGCGGGCCUGCUGUUCCUUUACACAUCGCGGGCGGUUGGCGGAGGCAGUGCGCGUGUGUGCAUCCUCCGAGUCUAGCUUGGAGGCGGCGACAUGGUUAGGCGCCACUACUUGCUCUGUUUCUACAGCCGCUACUUGUUGUAGCUCCUGCAAGAUUGCUGUACCUGCUUCUGGUAAGUUCUUGCUGUAGCUGAUGCUUGUACAUUUUUUAUGUCAACAAAAAGUUUGUAAUGCAAGUGGCAGGUGACAACUUACACAAUUGGGAGUUUUGUUAUAUCCAGUUAAACACUUGGUGUAAAUCUGGUAUAGAUACUUAUAGACUGUUUUUGAUGUGUUUUCCUCGUGAACCAGUGUCUUAGAUUAUUUCGUAAUUUAUCAUAUAUGUAAAUAAUAUUAUCACUGAAAUUUUAUAAGGCUGUGUAAGUUGAAAGAUUGAUUCGACGUCUUUACAUGUGAGUGUGAUAGACUUACAAUAUCUUUAUAAGUAUUAUUUUCUGUAGUUAGAUUUUACAUGAUGUGUGCUACGGUUCAGACCUUGCUAUUUAGAUAUUGUGCCUUUCAUGAUUUAUUGAGAAAUGUUGGUAAGUGAAGUUUGAUUAAUCACUUGUGUAUAUGGUUUGGGUAAUUACUAAAAUUCAAGAGUGCGCUUAGCCUGAAUGUGUAACGGGGCGUGAACAAUAUAUGAAUCGGAGUCAAGGACUGUUGAGUACAAAAAGGAUUCCUCGCAAAAAAUGUAUAAAAUGGAUUGAUAUUUGAAUUAUAUUACUAAUCCAGCCUUUUUCCAUCUUGCGACAUUUGACUUUGUGAGCAGUGGCUAUGUGGGAGGCUUCUUGAGGUGAGGUACAAUUAUAUUGUCUUUGAUUUAACUAAAAUCAUGCUAUCGCUUCAUAUGUACACCAACUCCAUGUCACAUCUUAUCUUGGGGAUUGGAAGUAAACAAUCGUGUCCUAUGGAGUCUACUAUCUAGGAAGUUCAGAGAUGGAACGUUCACGGUCUGUUAACUACAGAGAUGAUAAUCCUAAAAAAGUAAGUCCAUACUAGCAUGAUGAAAAGGUCCAAUUUUUUUAGCAUGAUGAAAAGAUCCAAGGACAGACCUCCCGUCGCACCAGAGAAAAUGGGCCGAAAAAGGUGCCGCUCGUCGGCGUGGCGGACCCGGCGACAGCUGACGGGUGUGGAGGGAGGUGGGGUAGAUCCAGUGCGUGUGCGUGCUCAACUGCUGAUGAACCGGCUGUAGCGCUCAAUCCCUGCCAAGGGCCAGCGUGGUCUCUGGAAGAGGUUUGGUCCGGGCAUGCAUGGUUGGUGAUUCCCAGGGUUGCCGGUCUUCAUCUCUGCUGUCCAAUGAUUCUUUUAUUACAGUUGAAGGCGCCUGUGAUUGGUGUGCAAGCCAGACCUGAGGGACGACCAACAGAACAUCCUUGAGAAGACGAUGGCACCCAUCAUGCAAUCGUUCCAUGGGAUUGUGACCUGCAUUGAGAUUUCAGUGCUUUGCACUUCGCCAGACUGAGAUCAAAAAGACCCCCAUUGUAUCAAUUUACAUUCGUAACACUUUAUUAUGUCAAUUUGUUGAUUGUUCACAAUGACACUGGAUAUUCUAACAGUUGCUCAGCCUCACGUAAUAUUCCAACAGUGCAUAUUUUUUGUAAUUUUGAUUGUUCGUUAGAGUUCUAGAUACUAUGCUCGAGUAGAGUAGGUUUACUAUAACAGAUUGUUUAGGAAUCACAGGUGCAGAAGGUAUUCUACCAUCCGCAGUGUGAGGGUUUUGAAGCAGAUAUUCAUUCUAUGUGACCACGACAGGGAUGGUAUGUAUUCUGUUUGUACUUGAGACUCUUAGAUUUCCAGUGGAGUUUUGGUUUCUCCUGCUGAGAUCGUACACUUGAUGUUUAUACUAUGCAUUCAAGCUAUUCCCACACCUAAGGUCUGUUAGUGUGGAAUCUUAUUUUCUUGUAGUGUGAUUACUAUAUGCACUUAUUUGCGUGCUUUCUCACUUUUAUUUGUAUAAUCGGCAUUCUGCAGAAAUAGGGCAACAAGAUUCAGGUAUAUGAUUUGAGGUUCGUAGUGGAGAAGAGCUGUGAGAAACUGCAGUUGCUUUCUUUUAUUGGGAACAAAUACUACGGGGAUCAAGUCGGGGAUUCAUGGCAAGGGAUUGACAUUUUUUUAUCAAAGCAGUUUGCUACACACUGCAGUGUGACAGAAAAGGUGUGCUACUGUUUCCACAUCUCCUUUUGCGAAUCACUAAUGUUUUUCCCAAGUCUUUUCUUCCUUUUUGUAUUGACCCAGAAAUAGUUUCGGCAUUGGUGUCAGUUUCUUCGAUGUUUUCAUUGUUCUUAUCGGGAAGUGUGAAGUGAAAUUGUGGAAAUUUUCCCAAGUCCCAGGUUUGCAUAGGCCCUUAUUACUGGUGUGCUGGUAUGGGCACAUGAGGGGUGUGCUAUUGAUAUUUUUAUGUGAGAUAUUUGUUUCUCAUUUUAGCGGUCAUUCAAGUGUGAGUUAUGUGUAUCUGCAACAUGUAAUUGAGUGCCGGAACUUUCAUUAUACCUUAUCAAGGCCAUUUACAGGUUUACAUGAGCAUUUGGUUAGUAGCCUCAUGACCUCAUCUAUGAAUUUCUGUUGAUCUAACUAUCUCUUAAUCUUUUUUCUCAGAUUUUAGUUACCCAUUGCUUACACAAUGAUAGUAAGACCAAUUGCAGGGAUGUGUUGAUCUUGGUCUUGUUCUGUAUGGAGGUAGGGUACAGUUGAUGUUUCAUGUUUGGUGAAAGAAAAGGAGCUUCCUAUGUUGAUUUCGGGCAAGAUAUACAUUCUGCCAUGCAUUAGUAGAUCAAUUGCUUCUCUGUGUAGGGGAACGAUUAGUGAUUGAAUCUCUCGGUCACGUUUCUUGAUCAUCCAAUUAAUUUACCCCCAUCUAUGCAUAAAUUGGUCUGAUUGAGUUAUGCCAUUUUUUAUGUAAUAAUCUAUAUUGGUCCUAUAUAUGACUAGAACAAUAUGAUACGAUGCACAUCGGUCCGCUUUACUGGCAUCUAUCUUUCAAGGUGAAGGAGGGGAGGCACUCGUGUGGAGCUGCUCAAUGUUCAAGGAGAUACGGCUGAUUAAACCAGUCCAAUCAAGACAAUUUGCAACUUUGGUGUUGUGACGUUGGAGGCCGUGCUCAGCGGCAAUGGGGGACUGUUGUAGAUGCCUGACCUGAGAUGUCGGCGAAGGAACGAGAGUCAACGAGGAGUGCACGCCAUGGGUUCGUGAACUGGCCAAGCCACCGUUGUUCGUUUGGUAAUGUCCGACGCAUCAGAGGCAUAGUAUGACUUGCGCCGAUUUUGACGUCAUCUACCAACAUCCGACGAAGGGGAACCAGUCCCGGUUUCCAUCUUGAUGGUAAGUUCUCUAAUCUUCUAUCUCAUGGGAUGUGAUGUGGUUGCUUUCAUUAUGGCUUUUGACAAAGAGUUGAAAUUAGCUUAUGUGCUUCACACAAUUGAAAUUCCAGUGAUAUUAUCAACCUUCAGUGAGCAGUGACAAUGAACUCCAUCUCCCCACACCACCACACCCAAAUAGCGUAGGAUAGACUGAUGUUUCAUGUGAUGUCCUUUAAGCUAUGUUUCAGCUUGUCUCGACCCAGCAUGUAUUUUUAGUUUCAGUUGUUGAGCUCUGCACUACAAAACCGAGAAAGACCCAAGGCUUUUUACAGUGGGAUCAUUUCUACAGACUACAAAUAGAGGGAAGUUGUCUUGUGCCUUACUAGAGACAGAUGAACCAAUAAAAUGAUUGGAAAGGCUCUUUCCAAUAAAAUGAUCUUGUACAGUUUAUUUCUUAAUAUAUUUUGGUCAGUAUGUUGUUUAUUUUCUGAAAAUGAUACUCCAUUGUAGAUUACCUAUGAUGAAAAUUACAUUCUCUGCGGGCGCUGAUUUAGAUAUAUUACUAUGGGCAAAGGAAGUUCAAAAUUUAUCUCAGUCAAACAUGUGCAAAGGAAAUUCAAAAUAUGUUAUAUUAGGGAAGAUUCUUAAAUCAGUCAAGUAUCUAGAGGGUUGAUUAGGACACUCCUCAUAAUGUUUGGUACUUUACCAUUUGGGAUUAGGCCAUUGGUGAACAUGACAAUGCGGCUGUUGGUCACGGAUGCCGGGGGCAUGGGCAGGGUUGAGGAGCUCACACAGUGCUAUAUGUGACAACCUGCGACUGGUGGCUGGAGGUGGUGUGCCUGCUGCUUGGUUGGAAGUCCGACAUAAACUCCCACGACCGACUGGUAAGCAUGGAGAUGGAGCCCGCCGCCUCAUCGAUGUGGGAGCUGCAUUGCACGUACAGGGCACGACGGCUCAUGGAUGCUGGAGCUGUAGUGCACUGUUUAGGAGUUCAAAAGCAUGAAGGAGGAGAUUACCUACAAGUGUUUAAGAUCACGCAGGAGGAUGUCAAAGUUUUCCAUUGUCCGGCACUUGUGAGCAAGCAGUAUAUGGACUUCACUCUGAUUCUAAAGAAAAAGUUGUGAAGACCUUCCAGCAUUACCCAAGGAAGCUAACACACCAACUUGUGCCAUACGUGGUAUUUUCUUGUUGAUGAAUGUUGGUGUAGUGGGGCGGGGGUGAGGAGUUGGAGAGAGAGGUGGGCGUGUGCAUGAGUGUAGUGCGUCUGGAUGAUGGGAUGCACGAUGGAGUGAUCGGUGUGGUGGCCAGCGGUGCCUGUGCUAUUGAUGUUCGAUUUGAGGGGAAGAAGAAAGAUUGGCUGCUGAUUUUGGGAGGAAGAAGAGAGAUUAAGCGUGUUGUUGUUGUUGUCAUGUGUGGCCUUGGGAGAGGAAUAAAAGAGAGUAGUAAAGAGUUGUAGAGAGAUAGCGAGGGAUUGAGAGGCUACUGCUAUUUGUAUUGCAGUUGAUGCUUGCACAAUGCUAUUGCUUAUGAUACUGGGGUAUUCAUCUUUGGGAUAAAAACAAUCAUUUCCCCCCUUCCAUAUUGUAGUCAUGACUUAGUUUUACUAACUAACCUCUCUAUAAUUAUUUUUGGAUUAUAUUUAGCUUUUUUGAAGUUGUAAAGAAUAGUUUUGACCUUUGUGGGUAGUCAAGCAAAUUCUGGUUCUUGGUUGAAA